rfam:Felis catus isolate Cinnamon breed Abyssinian chromosome C1, whole genome shotgun sequence.
GCCUGAGUGGCUCAGUCGGUUAAGCGUCUGACUUCAGGUCAGGUCAUGAUGUCACGAUUUGUGAGUUCAAACCCCGCAUCGGGCU